UUUCCGUAGGUGAACCUGCGGAAGGAUCAUUAAUGUAUAAUGGAGGUGCGAGGGCCGUGGCUUACAAGAAAGUUUGUGCACGCAAGAAAUCUCUCGCACACAUCAAUCCCGCCCCUAUUUGCACCAUCGCGUGGGCCUCAAUAUGGCUUGGGGGGCAGGGGGCACACGGUUUCACACGAUGUAAACAGUCAGUGUAGAAUGGAUUUUUUGUUUUUCGCAAGACGCUAUCAAAACAACUAUCAUCAACGGAUCACUUCGCUCCCGCAGCGACGAAGAACA
rnacentral:misc_RNA from 1 species